rfam:Salmo salar isolate Sally breed double haploid chromosome ssa11, whole genome shotgun sequence.
UGCAUUCACUACUGUAAGUCGCUCUAGAUAAGAGCGUCUGCUAAAUGACUAUAA